CUACCAGUGUCAUUAACAAUUAAACAUGGAUGCUGCAAAGCGCCACAUUUGAAUACAUUUUCAAACUUUCUAGUUUUAGAUCAUUUUAUUUUAACAAUUUUGAACUCUACUCUUAAAUAUUUUUUUAAGUUUGUCGCAAAUGGGAAGAAUUGAUCAUUUACAGACUUAGCAAAGUUAAGUAUAUUUUUGGCAAUGAAAGUGGCCAUUCUUCACCAGCUACUGUUUACAUUGGUAAUGGCAAGAUUUUAGAGAGUCCCAGUUUCUUACAAUAUGUUCCUAAUCUUAGGGUGCUUGAUCUGUUAUUCCAAAGAGGAUUUACUUUGAAAACUUAUCAUCAAGCGCAUGAAAUUAUUGAUAAAGCUAAGAAACUGAAAGGCCUCAUAUUUUAUUCAUCGGCGGCAGUGCCUAGUCUGGCCAGUUAUUGUGAGACUCCUGAAAUGGUUGCAAUAAUGCAACCGAAUGCAACUUGGUAUAAAAGUUUUGCUUGUUUUAGUUCCAAAGUGAAACAAUUGUUCGUUGAAAGUGCUCAAAUUAAGGAUUUAGAAUUAGCACACAUGAAUCUAGAUAAUUUAGUGAGGUUACAUUUUUCCACUA